CAGUACUCACAGUCAUUCAGGAAGUGAAGGGAGCUUAAUUAAUCUGACAACAGGUCUGAUGUAGGUUCUGUCUUUGAUCUGGAUUUCUGCAGCUCUUACUUUAUUAUCAGCUCCGACCUGGACAGAUUUCACAGUUCCAACAGGCCAGAGUGCCCUGGGGAAUUGUGGAUCAGCAAUCAUAACCACUGUCCCUACUGUCAAGUUGUCUUUCUCUUGUUGCCAUUUCUGGCGAGACUGGAGUCCGGGCAGGUAGUUACGCAGAUAACUGCUCCAGAACUGGUCUGCCAAUAUCUGGCUGUGUCUCCAGCGCUUGCGGCUGAGCAGUUCAGAUGCAGGGUAAAUUACCUGUGGCAAGGCAGAGUCUCGUCGGCCCAUUAAGAGAGAAUUAGGGGUUAUUGGAUCAGGAUCCGCUACAUCUGAGGAUACGUAUCCCAAUGGCUUUGAAUUUAGAAUUCCUUCGAUUUCAACAAGGACAGUCCUGAGCACUUCCUCCGUGACAGUUUGCACACCAAUGGUGGUGUACAGUGCAGCUUUAAGAGAUCUGAUUUCUCUUUCCCAGGAUCCUCCGAAAUGUGGGGAGUUUGGUGGAUUGUAAUGGAAGUCAAUCUGUUGCUUGGCAAGUUCUCUUUGUAACUGAGGGUGAAUAUUGUUGAAGGCCUCCUUAAGCUCAUGAUCUCCACCCUUGAAAUUGGUACCCUGAUCAGAGCACAACUCAUGAGGUUUUCCCCUACGGGCGAUGAAUCGACGUAGAGACAUGAGGAAGGAGUCUGUGUCAGCUUGAGAGAGAAGGUCGAUGUACACUGCCCUUGUGGUCAAACAUUUAUAAAUGAUACCCCAGCGUUUCUCGUUCCGGCGCCCAAUUUUGAUGGUAAAUGGGCCAAAGCAGUCCAUGCCUGUAGAGUAAAAGGCUGGUUGGAAGAGUCUUAAACUGGAAGGAGGUAAGUCAGCCAUUUUAGGUAUAUUGGGCUUGCCACGCCACCUUUGACACUCAGUACAGUGAUGCUGAAUUGAUCUUACUGCUUGACGGCCUCUCAAGAUCCAGAAGCGUCUUCUGAUUUCAGCAAAGACUCUUUCAGUACCAGGGUGAUGGAGUUGUGCAUCGUACUGCUGAAUUAGUAGUUUAGUCACUGGAUGGACUGGGUCUAGGACAAUUGGGUGAAGAAUUUCAGGACUUAGUAGAUGACAUCUUCGGAGUCGUCCACCCACUCUAAUCAGUUGCGUGUCAGAAUCAAAUUCGGCAGCUAAUGUCUUUAAAUGACUGUUUGAGGAGAUGGCUUUCCCUGCUUGAAGCUGAGCAUAUUCAUCAGGAAAACUCUCCAUUUGAGACUGUUGAAUAAUUUUGAGCUCGGCUUUCUUAUACGUGUCAGCAGUGACAGUGUCUGUGGAACUGGCCGCCCCGUGAAGGGAUCUGGCUGUUGCAUUUACAAGCUCUUGAAAAUUGUCAAAUUGAGAUGCACUGACUGAAUGCUGGUCACCCUGAGUUAUUAGAUGGAAGGAUACUGGUUUACGCAGUUCCUUUGAGGUGUCAGUUGGCACCAGAUUGGGCAUUUUGGGCCAAGACGAUAGAGGUUUCUGCAAAAAUUCUGGGCCAUUCUUCCAGCGGGUAGGUUCGGCUAGCUGAACCAGUGUCAUGCCACGAGUAAUAUCGUCAGCAGGGUUGUCUUGUGAGGGCACAUAGGACCAUAAAUGUGAAUCAGUUAGCUCUUGAAGCUCCGCAACUCUCGUUCCUACAAACACUUUAAAAUGGCAUGAGUCCGAUUGAAGCCAGUUGAGCACGGUUGUAGAAUCAGUCCAGUAUCUGAAACUGCUGAUGUUUAGUGUGAGCUCUCUUUGCAGAACUGCUGCCAAUUGUGCUCCAGUUAAAGCAGCACAUAGCUCGAGUCGGGGAAUUGUUUGCUGCUUCUUUGGAGCUACUCGUGAUCUAGCUGCCAAGAAUGACACCUCUAUCUGUCCUUUGCUAUCUUCAGUGCGGAGAUAGGCUACAGCUCCAUACGCUCGCUCUGAGGCAUCACAGAAUGUGUGCACAGUUCUUGAGCUUAUCAAUGGAUCUACAUUUGUAGUGUAGCAUCUGGGAAGUGUGACACAGGAAAGUUGUGGAAGCUCAUCUUCCCAUGUGAGCCAUGCAUUUCUGAGGUCAGUGGGCAGUUCAGGGUCAUCCCAUUCUCUUUUUUUGUCCCAAAGCCUCUGGACUAUGAUCUUAGCUCUAGUGGUAAAUGGGGUGAUGAAUCCCAAGGGAUCAUACUGACUGGAAAGGACGCUAUAUAUGUGUCGCAUAGUGGGCUCAGUUUUUACGACAUGGCCAUGUUUAUAACCAAGGGUGUCGGAUCUGCACUGCCACCUAAGUCCUAGUGUGCGCUCCUGGGGGUCGGCCCUGUCUGAACUAAACCAAAGCUCAUGGUUCUCUGACCUGAUUUGCUGCGGCAGGUGUUGCAGCAGUUGGGGAGUGUUACUAGCCCAUUGACGCAGUUCAAAUCCACCCUUGGCCAGCAGAUGUCGCAUAUCAUCCACUAAUUGUCUGGCAAUCUCAAAAGAGGGGACACUCUGCAACCAGUUGUCCACAUAGAAACAACGAUCUACUGCUACUCGUACCUCAUUAUCCGGUUGGCUGUGAUCAGCAACAUGUUUCGAAGAGCAAAGGUUGCACAGCAGGGGCUGCACGUGGUGCCAAAGGGUAACACUGACCACUGAUAGACAUCAGGUGCAUUGGUCGGUUUCAGGUCUCGCCACAGGAAUCGCAAGAAUGGUUGGUCUUCUGGUAGGAGACGCACCUGAUGAAACAUCCCCUUUAUGUCACUGCUAAUGGCUACUGCAUGCUCUCUGAAACGGAGAAGUACUCCCAGCAAGGUAGCACCCAGAGUUGGCCCAGGAAUAAGAUAUUCAUUUAAGUUCAGCCCUUGGAAGUUGAAAGAACAAUUGAAUACUAUCCUGUUCUUUCCGUUGUGGUGGACCAUGUGAUGUGGAAUAUACCACCCUGAAGUCUGUACAGCUGUGGAUUUGGGAAUUUUUCUCACAUAGCCUGAUUCUAGCAGCCUGUUCAUCUCAGAUGUGUAUGCUUGGGAUUUCUCAAAGCUCUGUGCCAGCUGAUUUUCAGUCCUUCUCAAAUGAGGCAUUACCGCUUCCUUUGGAGCAGCUAGAG
ensembl:lncRNA